ACGCACGCUGGCGGCGUGCUUAACACCUGCAAGUCGCACGGAAAGGCCCUGCUUUUGUGGGGUGCUCGAGUGGCGAACGGGUGAGUAACACGUGAGUAACCUGCCCUUGACUUUGGGAUAACUUCAGGAAACUGGGGCUAAUACCGGAUAGGAGCUCCUACUGCAUGGUGGGGGUUGGAAAGUUUCGGCGGUUGGGGAUGGACUCGCGGCUUAUCAGCUUGUUGGUGGGGUAGUGGCUUACCAAGGCUUUGACGGGUAGCCGGCCUGAGAGGGUGACCGGCCACAUUGGGACUGAGAUACGGCCCAGACUCCUACGGGAGGCAGCAGUGGGGAAUAUUGCACAAUGGGCGGAAGCCUGAUGCAGCAACGCCGCGUGCGGGAUGACGGCCUUCGGGUUGUAAACCGCUUUCGCCUGUGACGAAGCGUGAGUGACGGUAAUGGGUAAAGAAGCACCGGCUAACUACGUG
rnacentral:rRNA from 1 species